rnacentral:rRNA from 1 species
UACGUAGGGGGCAAGCGUUAUCCGGAUUUACUGGGUGUAAAGGGAGCGUAGGCGGCUUAGUAAGUCAGAAGUGAAAGCCCGCAGCUCAACUGCGGGACUGCUUUUGAAACUGCCAGGCUAGAGUGUCGGAGAGGUAUGCGGAAUGCGCAGUGUAGCGGUGAAAUGCUUAGAUAUUAGGAGGAACACCAGUGGCGAAGGCGGCUUACUGGACGAUGACUGACGCUGAGGCUCGAAAGCGUGGGGAGCAAACAGG